AGCCCUCCAGCCCGUGCUCCUCAGUGCCCGGCAGGACUUGGGUCUGGCCCGAGGGCGCUCCCUGGGCUUCUCCCACACCCAGGAAGCUGGGUCUCCGUCCAGGGUGAACAGGGUGCUCCAAGGCUGGUGGAUACCUUGCCUCCCCACCCCUCUCCUGGCCAGCCCGAGGGCCAGGGGCUCCCGUUUCUCCAGGGGCCCCCUGUCCCGAAACAGUCGAGGACCACCAAGCCCCCAGUACUGUCCCGUGGGGUUUGGCAAGAUGGGAUUGGGUGAGGACCUGGCCAACUAACGAACCAGGCUAUCACUGGAAUUGACCAGUGGAGGCUGAGGAAACAGCAUGGACUUUCAUUCUCACUUUUCUAGAAAGCUUAUAAAGAUCCCUAGGCCAGUGCUGCCACCAGUGUGACCAGCUUAAGCCAGUCUUCUUUUGUUUCUCCAGUGACUCACGUGCAUGGAGGCAGGAAGGUCUAGUACGUCUCCACACAUCUUGCCCCGUGUAAUGUUCCAGAGGCCCAGAUAGUCUGGACCUUGUCUCUGGCUGCAUUAGCCUGACAGGUGCUUGUUCUGCGCUACUGACAGUAAGGCCUUGCUAGCCAGGCUAAGCCACGCCAGUGGCGCCCCCAUCCGGGCCACAAGGGCACACUCUUAGUUUAAACAAGAGAGAUGCUAGGUUCUCCAAGCAGCCAUGCCAAGGUGACAGGCCAGCCUCGCCCAUCCCACUAAUGCAAAUUGGGCCUCUGAUAAAACACAGGUCCUCGGAUGGACUGUCCUUCCUCUCUCGGAAGUCCUUUCCUGCCUGCCCGCAGUUGCAAUGACCUUGACAUCAAAGGCUUAGGAACCCAGGCCUCUGCAUAUUUGCUUACGCCUCCCAGGUCCCCAACCCUACUGGGACACAGUCACUCCGAGUAUCUGCUCCCACUUAUCACUUUACAUUGUUUUAUAAGGGAACUGCUUUUAGAUUCUACCCAAAUGAGGAAAGACUCUGGACUAUUUUUAAUUCUUUUUUAAAAAAGCCGCGAGGCAGAAGUCUCAAAGACCCAUCAUCGGGUUAUCUACGGCUCCUUUCAUUCUCUUCCGAAGCAGAGUAAGCCACAUUCAGAGUGAAGAGGCUCAGCUACGCCCGCGGUUGAGCCCUCUGCUGCUCCACCAGGAUGUACCCAGCAGUGGCUGCCCUGAGAAGCCAAAGACUCCAGCCACCCCAUCCCUGCCCAUCCCUGUGCUUCAAGUGGACCUGGCACAGUGGAGGUGCACCAGCAGAGAAACAGCCUACUGGGACAGGACCCUUCUCUGGUCAGGAAGGCCUGGGCCGCUGAGAUUCUGGAUGAAAGCUGCAUUGCCAAGAUCCCCCUCAUCCACCUCCAAAUGGCCCUACCUGAGGUGGCAGCCUCAUGCCUCAAGCUGCAGGAUGCCACAGGACAAGGCCCAGCCCUUCUUGCUAAGGGCCCCAAAAUAUCACGGUGAAGAUCUUCCUAGGAAAGAUAAAACAACAAGGAAUUCUCUAGAGAAAGAGAAUUUUAUUUUAAUUAUUUUUUGUUUGGUUGGUUUGGGUACUGCGUGCUUAACCACUGAGCCACAUCUCUAGCCUUUUUUAUAUUUUAUUUUGAGACAGGAUCUUGCUAAGUUCCUCAGGGCCUCGAAAAAUUGCUGAGGCUGGCUUUGAGCUUGUGAUCCUCCUGCCCCAGCCUCCUGAGCCUCUGGGAUUACAGCAUGUGCCACCACACCCGGCUUCAAGAGGGAAAAUUUAGAGACCAGGAAUGGAAAAAAACAGAAGUCAAAUCAUGACUAACUGUGAAAUCUUAGGAAGGCACCUGACCUCCCUGGGCCCGGGUUUCCCCUUUCGUAGAGCGGAAAUAUCACUGCCUGCCCCACCCCACAGGAGCUGCACUAGGAGGAGGAGCCCUUGCUGGGGAGGACCCUGCAGCCAGCAUGUCCUUGCAAUGCUACAACUCACCCAGCAGAAGAGCACAGGUGGUCCUUCAGAGGCCAUCCUGUGGUCACACAGAGGACAAGCCAACUUCCUGUGGGACCCAGGGAUGGUUUCAACUCAGGCAUCCCCAGUCGGCUGCUGUGGGUAAAAAUCGUGUAUAUCCUCAGGUGACUAAACUGAUAUCAGGACAUGAUCUAGCACUUUCUUACCACACUUGCAGGAGGCCACCCAUUGCCAGGUCACUACCCAUUCAUUCAAAGUCACUUUCCAAGAAACUAGUGGCCCUUGGACCCUACUUCAGAUAUGAAAGGGUGUCAGAACUGCACCAGCCUAUCACCAGCCUAUCACCAGCCCGUCACCAGCCCAUCACCUAGGAUGCAGCAUUUUCCAAACAGCAUCUCCCAUCCAUUUAUAGACUGAAAAAUCAGCUGAGCGGGUGUGUCCAGCAUCUUUUUCUUAAAAAAUGUAAUAGAAAAUAGCAUUCUUCACGCCGAGUCAGGGUCAGUAGCUUGGCAGGUGUGCUCUGGCCCUGUGUGAGUGUUCUCAGACGUGGACGGUGCACUACGGAAGGAGGUCACGUACCUCUGGAGCUGCCAUGUGUUCCUUGCUGUGGAGAAGAAGUCUGCAGGCUCCUGUGCCCAUGGCAACACGGCAGCUGUGAUGCACACACAGUUUGUAAAACAGGGUGCACAAAAGUUGUUUUGCUCUAGCCUGUCCACACUUGGCUCCCAUGUUGGGUGCAGGGUGGAGGUUCUACAUGCCCUGGGGUGAAAUGUGGGAUCAGGAUUAAUGCAUUUUAUCAUAUCCAAAAAAAAUAAAUGGGGUGUACUAUCAGAGACUUGAGAAAUGUGCUCUAUGUAUGUAAUAUGAAAUGAAUUAUAUUCUGCCGUCAUAUAUAACAAAUUAGAUUAAAUAAAUAAUUUAAAAUAAAU